rnacentral:rRNA from 1 species
CGAACAGUAGCCGACCUGAGAGGGUGAUCGGCCACAUUGGAACUGAGACACGGUCCAAACUCCUACGGGAGGCAGCAGUGGGGAAUAUUGCACAAUGGGCGAAAGCCUGAUGCAGCAACGCCGCGUGAGUGAUGAAGGCCUUCGGGUCGUAAAACUCUGUCCUCAAGGAAGAUAAUGACGGUACUUGAGGAGGAAGCCCCGGCUAACUACGUGCCAGCAGCCGCGGUAAUACGUAGGGGGCUAGCGUUAUCCGGAUUUACUGGGCGUAAAGGGUGCGUAGGCGGUCUUUCAAGUCAGGAGUGAAAGGCUACGGCUCAACCGUAGUAAGCUCUUGAAACUGGGAGACUUGAGUGCAGGAGAGG